CAGCCGCCGCGGUAAUACGAAGGGUGCAAGCGUUAAUCGGAAUUACUGGGCGUAAAGCGCACGCAGGCGGUUUGUUAAGUCAGAUGUGAAAUCCCCGAGCUUAACUUGGGAACUGCAUUUGAAACUGGCAAGCUAGAGUCUUGUAGAGGGGGGUAGAAUUCCAGGUGUAGCGGUGAAAUGCGUAGAGAUCUGGAGGAAAACCGGUGGCGAAGGCGGCCCCCUGGACAAAGACUGACGCUCAGGUGCGAAAGCGUGGGGAGCAAACAGGAUUAGAUACCCGUGUAGUCCCUGUCUCUUAUAC
rnacentral:rRNA from 1 species